GUUGGAAGUGACGGUGCCAGAGAGAUUGCAGUUCGUUCUCCAACACAUCACUGCGGAAGGUCAAGCCUUGGCAAAUUCUUGUCUGUGGGACUCACCUGAAGCCAGCAGCAGCAGCAGCAGCAGCAACAGCAGUGAGCAUCAGUACUGACAGACGGAAUCUCACAGCAGGACCUAAUAUUCAGAAAGAGGGCACCCUUUCAAAAAACUGUUUUGUUAGCUAGUAAAGCCAAGAGGGACACAAGCUGGCAGCAGUGUGUAUAUUCAUGCUUGUCUAACUGCCAGGGUUGGGAGGAAAUAUCCCAUAGCUAUGCAUUAUAUAUUCUUUGCACUCCCCUCUACAACAAGUAUCGCUCCUGAUAAGUAAAUAGAAAAGCAAGCCCACUGGUCCUCGCUUUCCACUCUUUCAGUGAAGGACCUGGGCCUGAAUUAAAUCAAAGCUCCUGGACUGGGGGAGUCACAAAUGAGGGCCAGUGAUUCCAGCACAGAGCAGUUCCAGUCCAGAUCUUUAUUCCAACCAUGUUGUUUUUAAUUGGAUUAAUUAAAGCCCAUGUUCUAAAGCUCUUGCACCCUAUUCACACUUAUAUAAUUAUCAGGACAUGGCUGGAACAGAGACCUGGUCUGGCAGUGUCGGUGCUGCGUCCCGCUGCUAUAACCAAUCAUUCAUAUACUGUGUUUGAGGUGCUCAGUCAGCUACAUCAGUUAAUAAUCCAACUGUAGAUGAGCAGCUAGGGUAGCACAAGGACCCGCGUUUCUCGUUUUCCGCUGCAAGUCUCUGAAAGGGUCAUUCAUUUGAGUCCAGUGUGGAUUGAGUGAAAGGAAAUGAAAUGAAACAGCUCUUUCUAUGAACUCGCUGGCAGCGGAUGUUCAGGAUGUUUAUAUAGUGGUACACUGUGUAAUGUGCAAUGUGAGGCUCACGCAUAGGGGGGAUGUGAAUUCGCUUCCACAGGGCGAAUAUUGUGUUAGAUUGUGGUUUCCUGCUUGUUUGUCGUCGUUGUUAUUUUGGUUAAGAUCAUUCAUUGGCAUUUAUAAGUCUUUAGUUACGGAUUUCUACGAGCAAGGGCUGUAGCUUUGCAGAUGCACUUUGUACAGUAUUCAUAUUGCAAUGGCUGUAUUAAAACUGUGCGGUUAACUAUUGAUGCUGAUUACCUGGCAAUGACCUUGUUAACAUACUGUUUUAUUGAUGUCACUUUUCCAGUUACCUUUGCUCCCUCACCUUAUGAAAUCACUGUUGUCUCUCUUGUUUUUUGUCAUUACAGUAUAUAUAAUUGGCUGUGAUUUCACUGUUACUGACCAUCCCAGGCUAUACAAUUCAAUCAUUAAACCUCAAACACUAAAUGGCACCCAGGAACGACAGCAUGAAUGACAUUUGGUUUUGCAUGUCUGCACACAAUGGUAGAAAUUAGUUUUAUACACCACUACGUUAACUCUGGAUUAAAGGUUAGCACCAUUGCCUGUACAGCUGUCGAUAUCAGAUUAGGCUGUACCAUCAGGAGAAUGCCCCAUGUAUUUAAUGGUUUGGUUUCGUCUUUGGAUUUUAGACACACUACAGUUCUAAAACAAUGUAAUAAAGGCAGUGCUUCCCCCUCCAUGUUCUCUACACUGUAAAACCCAAUGAUGAGCAGUUAAAUAUAAAACUACAGGGAGCAGAUUCUAAACCCUUUCUAGCGUUCAUUUCAAUGGUUUUAAACUGCACUUCAGACGCGCAAAUAACUUCCUAAAAUAAACAUCCAUGUGAAAAUAGAUCAAUACUAAAAUGUGUUUGUAAUCCGUCGCAUGCGAUUUAUGCUGAUCUGAAUGGAAGAACAGAUUGUAAAAGCAACAUGUGUGGCAGAAGGUCACGUCUCACCAAUCAAUAAUUACAGAUGAGUUGAUUCUUCUCAAUCGUGUCCCUUCUGUUUCGAGUGCUUCUCUCUGUAAAACGACACAGAAGCCACUAUUCACGCGUGUGACGUUUU